CCACCCUCAGCGCGCCCCCGGGCGCCGCUGGCGUUGGGGCUCCUCCGGCGAGGAGGGCCCCUAAAGCGAGUGGCGGGCCCGGCUGGUUGGCUCCGAGCGCAGUACUGAGCACACGCUCUUCCCCUCGCUCGCGGCCCCGGCCGGCGCCCUGCCGUCAACGCGCACUUUGACGUGCAGCGGCCCUCGGCCGCUCCAAUCUUCUCUGCAA
rnacentral:misc_RNA from 1 species